rnacentral:rRNA from 1 species
CCUACGGGAGGCAGCAGUAGGGAAUAUUGCUCAAUGGGGGAAACCCUGAAGCAGCAACGCCGCGUGGAGGAUGAAGGUUUUCGGAUUGUAAACUCCUUUUGUUAGAGAAGAUAAUGACGGUAUCUAACGAAUAAGCACCGGCUAACUCCGUGCCAGCAGCCGCGGUAAUACGGAGGGUGCAAGCGUUACUCGGAAUCACUGGGCGUAAAGCGCGCGUAGGCGGGAUAGCAAGUCAGAUGUGAAAUCCUAUGGCUUAACCAUAGAACUGCAGUUGAAACUGUUAUUCUAGAGUAUGGGAGAGGUAGGUGGAAUUCUUGGUGUAGGGGUAAAAUCCGUAGAGAUCAAGAGGAAUACUCAUUGCGAAGGCGACCUGCUAGAACAUAACUGACGCUGAUGCGCGAAAGCGUGGGGAGCAAACAGGAUUAGAUACCCCGGUAGUC